rnacentral:rRNA from 1 species
GAUGAACGCUGGCGGCGUGCCUAAUACAUGCAAGUCGAGCGAACGGACGAGAAGCUUGCUUCUCUGAUGUUAGCGGCGGACGGGUGAGUAACACGUGGAUAACCUACCUAUAAGACUGGGAUAACUUCGGGAAACCGGAGCUAAUACCGGAUAAUAUUUUGAACCGCAUGGUUCAAAAGUGAAAGACGGUCUUGCUGUCACUUAUAGAUGGAUCCGCGCUGCAUUAGCUAGUUGGUAAGGUAACGGCUUACCAAGGCAACGAUGCAUAGCCGACCUGAGAGGGUGAUCGGCCACACUGGAACUGAGACACGGUCCAGACUCCUACGGGAGGCAGCAGUAGGGAAUCUUCCGCAAUGGGCGAAAGCCUGACGGAGCAACGCCGCGUGAGUGAUGAAGGUCUUCGGAUCGUAAAACUCUGUUAUUAGGGAAGAACAUAUGUGUAAGUAACUGUGCACAUCUUGACGGUACCUAAUCAGAAAGCCACGGCUAACUACGUGCCAGCAGCCGCGGUAAUACGUAGGUGGCAAGCGUUAUCCGGAAUUAUUGGGCGUAAAGCGCGCGUAGGCGGUUUUUUAAGUCUGAUGUGAAAGCCCACGGCUCAACCGUGGAGGGUCAUUGGAAACUGGAAAACUUGAGUGCAGAAGAGGAAAGUGGAAUUCCAUGUGUAGCGGUGAAAUGCGCAGAGAUAUGGAGGAAUACCAGUGGCGAAGGCGACUUUCUGGUCUGUAACUGACGCUGAUGUGCGAAAGCGUGGGGAUCAAACAGGAUUAGAUACCCUGGUAGUCCACGCCGUAAACGAUGAGUGCUAAGUGUUAGGGGGUUUCCGCCCCUUAGUGCUGCAGCUAACGCAUUAAGCACUCCGCCUGGGGAGUACGACCGCAAGGUUGAAACUCAAAGGAAUUGACGGGGACCCGCACAAGCGGUGGAGCAUGUGGUUUAAUUCGAAGCAACGCGAAGAACCUUACCAAAUCUUGACAUCCUUUGACAACUCUAGAGAUAGAGCCUUCCCCUUCGGGGGACAAAGUGACAGGUGGUGCAUGGUUGUCGUCAGCUCGUGUCGUGAGAUGUUGGGUUAAGUCCCGCAACGAGCGCAACCCUUAAGCUUAGUUGCCAUCAUUAAGUUGGGCACUCUAAGUUGACUGCCGGUGACAAACCGGAGGAAGGUGGGGAUGACGUCAAAUCAUCAUGCCCCUUAUGAUUUGGGCUACACACGUGCUACAAUGGACAAUACAAAGGGCAGCGAAACCGCGAGGUCAAGCAAAUCCCAUAAAGUUGUUCUCAGUUCGGAUUGUAGUCUGCAACUCGACUACAUGAAGCUGGAAUCGCUAGUAAUCGUAGAUCAGCAUGCUACGGUGAAUACGUUCCCGGGUCU